rnacentral:tRNA from 1 species
UCUUAGCUCAGCUGGGAGAGCAUCUGCCUUACAAGCAGAGGGUCAUAGGUUCGAGCCCUAUAGGCCCCA